rnacentral:rRNA from 1 species
CCUACGGGAGGCAGCAGUGGGGAAUAUUGCACAAUGGGCGCAAGCCUGAUGCAGCGACGCCGCGUGCGGGAUGGAGGCCUUCGGGUUGUAAACCGCUUUUGUUCAAGGGCAAGGCACGGUCUUUGGCCGUGUUGAGUGGAUUGUUCGCAUAAGCACCGGCUAACUACGUGCCAGCAGCCGCGGUAAUCCGGAGGGUGCAAGCUUUAUCCGGAUUUAUUUGGCGUAAAGGGCUCGUAGGCGGUUCGUCGCGUCCGGGGUGAAAUUCCAUCGCUGAACGGGGGAUCCGCUCCGGGUACGGGCGGGCGUGAGUGCGGUAGGGGAGACUAGAAUUCCCGGUGUAACGGUGGAAUGUGUAGAGAUCGGGAAGAACACCAAUGGCGAAGGUAGGUCUCUGGGCCGUGACUGACGCUGAGGAGCGAAAGCGUGGGGAGCGAACAGGAUUAGAUACCCUUGUAGUC